GAGAGAGAGAGAGAGAGAGAGAGAGGGAGCAGAGGAAAACGUGUAAUCACCCAAACAAACAUUUUACCCAUUUUCACCCCCUUUGGAAGCGUAGAGCAGUGUGCGUCAGCUUGUCUCUCCUCCACUGAGGAUACAGACCGAGGUGGGAGGCCAGCACAGUGAAGAAGACACCAAAGGAUAAGAAGACAGAGAGUUAGGGAGCUCUGGUGAAUGGAGAACUUCCCUCAGAUUGCUGCUAUUCUCCAGCUUAUUGCAUCCUGUCGUUUGCAGUUUCAGAUGAUGUCCAGUAUGCCGCAGCUGCUGGAGCCAAUAAACAAGGGUCACGGGCAAUGCCACAAUCGAAACCGGAAAGGAGCCAUCGCUGGAGGUGUAUGGCGACCGUGGAGAAUGAAUGGGAGAAAGUUGUUCAGGAUCCAACACACCGUGGCAGAUGACGAGAGCUAGGGUAGCCAGCUAGCUAAAAAAGAGGCAUCUGGUACCAGCCAGCGGGGAUUUACAGCUCUGUGACAGAGCAUUAUACAAAGUGCAACUGUGAGUUGGGGUGGAACACAAAAAGUCCAAGCUCAUGCUUUGCAUCUGUGAGCUUCGAAACAAAGGGAAACACUCUAAAGCAACAUCCUGGGUAUAAAUUUGCAAAACGCAAUACAGGCCUGAUUGUGCGUCGAGUGGAUGUGGGGUGCAUACGAAUAGACCAUGUGCCCCUUCCUCUCUCCUCCUCUGCCUCCAAAUAGUACAACUCUUUCUCCCCUUCUCCCGUCUUCCGAUGCAGCCAACUUCGGCUACAAGAGUCACAAAUGCAGAUGGCCCAUUCAACAACUCCCAGGGCACUCUGCGUUUAUCGGUGGGGCUGGAGAAGCAGAGAUCACCGGACUGCUGAGGAGCUCUCCGGCGCCACGCUGGGUUUGAAAUGGGACCCCAGUCACUGAGGCCCCUUGGAGUUUGCGUAGGGAGGCAAGGCUCGACUGCAUUUGAAUGGGCUGCCUCGUCGCGAGAGGAAGGGAUUCAUAAUCAACAACGAGAUGACAGUAAUCAGCACCACCUCGGCCGUGCACCUGUCGUCAGUCAGCCUUCAUCAUUGCCUGCCAGAUCCAGGACUCCACUGCCAGAGUAUUAAUGUUCAUCUGUGUGCUCCUUUCAUGCUGCUCGCUUUGCUGAUCUCCCCAGCCACGCCGUUAAGCCCUUCCACCUGCUCACGCCACCGCUUCCCGCACGUUCCAUGUCCCGACAGUCCGCCAUCACGCCUUGGAGAUCCAACUCUGAAUGCAAUCCUAAUAAACCCUUCUCCACAAACUUCUUCCGCCUCCGCCUGCUUCUGGGUACAGUCAAACCUGAUACAAUUGUAUCGUGACAGAAUACUCCGGCCAUCAUGGACCCAGCAACCCCGGAGGUGCUAAGACACCCACUCACACCCACUCACCCACCAAGUCGCCCAUAUUGGAAGACAGGACAAAGUUCUCUGUGAGAUCAUGGACUUAUUAAACACCCUCUCUCAACAAGUAUCCCUCCUUUCUUCCCAAGUGCAGUCCGGCCAUCCUCCCAUGAGUAUUCCUUCCGAGCCCGCAGCCGCCGAUCCAUUCCGUCUCCUGUACAAAGAGCCUCAUGUUCUUCCGCCCAAGCCCUACUCCAGGGUUCAUGCAGCCAAUUCCUCUUAAAUUGCUCCCUAGUAUUCAAUCUGCAACCGUUGAGAUACCCAACUAAACAAUCCAAGGUAGCAUUCGUCACCAACCUCCUACACAGAAAAGCUGAUAAGUAGGCAACCGCAUUAUGGCACAAUUCUUCCCCAGUAUUCGCGUCAUUGAACUCCUUUUCCGCCGAACUUAAAAAAGUCUUCGACUACCCCGUUCAGGGCAGGGAAACCACUUGACGAAUCCUUAUGCUCACUCAGGGCUCUAGCUCCGUGGCAUCCUAUUCGUUGUAAUUUAGAAUUCCUGUGGGUGAGUGCGGGUGGGAUGACGCCGCACUAAGGGGUAUAUUUUUAAGCGGGCUUUCUGAGCAGCUCAAAGACGAGCUUGCAGCCCGGGACGAGCCCUCCUCACUCGAGGACCUAAUUUCAUUAUCCAUUCGUGUAGACAACCGUUUGGGGGAAAGAGCAGGAGAGCGAGGGGUAAGCGCUCGUAGAUUUGUAUCCUCCAUGGGUACAGCACCGUUACCAACUCCGCCGCAUUCUGAACUCCCGACCGCCUCCUCAUCACCCCCCACUACAUCGGAUGAGCCCAUGCAACUCGGCAACACAAGAUUAGACCCUCAGUGCCGUUUCAACCAACGACUGUGUAUCUAUUGCGGACAAUCAAGCCACUUCAUUUUCACAUGGCCCCUGACACCAAAAUGACCAGAGACCCGCGAGCCAAAUCAACAUCUCCCCAAGCUCUCCCUCCCGUAUGACCGUUCCCAUGCGUAUUCUUGUCCUGUUCGCAACACACCUGUAAAUGCCCUCAUUGACACCGGUGCAGUUUUAUUCAUGAGGAUUUAGCACGUUAGCUCCAACGCCCUCACAAACCCCUCCAGUCACCAAAAAAGGUCACAGCCCUGGAUGGGCGACUCAUCUCCCCUGUCAUCCACGAAACAGUACCGUUUACUCUACUCAUCUCAGGCAAUCAUUGUAAAGACAUCCAGCUUUUCGUUAUUCCCUCCCUUGAGACUCAUUUAGUCCUCGGAAUCCCCUGGCUCAUGAAGCACAACCCCGCCAUCGACUGGACCGUCCGUAAAUAUGAAUUUUUCCAUUAAUCCUGGAACACUCCCCUUUUCACAAAAAAACACUGCCCACCAAUCAGCUUCUGAUCAUGGCUCCAGUCCCUCCCACCUGUUCCUUGUCUCCAGGCACACUUAAACAUGGACAACGUGGGCAGCUGACCAGGAUUUAAGACAAUGUAAUGCAAUCACAUGUAUCAUUCCAAUGUAUUUAUUAAAUGUUUUUGCUUAAAUUAAUUUCAGUAUUUAAAACCUGGACUAAACCUUCUGUGUUGCUCGUCACAUUUCAGUAUACCAACACUGUAAAGCACCAUUAACUGUCUGCCAACAAUGUGCUUUUACAUAACAUAACAUGAUUACAUAACAUAGUCAAUCAUCCAUCAGAUCUCAAUUUGCAACACCACAAUAUAGCCUGUGACAUAGAAGUAAAUUUAUAGUCAUUAAUACCAACGGUGAUAAAUUAUCUGUAUACCAUGAACAAGAAAGUAAAUGAUUUCGAAUAAUGAUUUGGUACUGAUUUAUGUAAUAUGACACUAAUUUUGACAGAAACAUUUCUGCCUUAUCAUCCCUCAUUCCUCCCCAGAGCUCAUAAAAGUCAUGUGUCACAAGGUGAAAGCUUUGCAGGUCAGUCUUAGGAGGCAGAGAGCGUGCCGACGCUAGUCUUUGCCCUCCUGAUAAAUUACAUUUAUGAAAGCUGCAAUUACCUGAUUAUCUCAGCACUUCAGCUCCCACAGGAUUCAUCACACCCCUAUAAUUUUAUUCAAAUUACCCAUGAACCUUAAACCCGUAGUGUCAACAGUAAAUGUCAUUGUGAUUCGAUUGAGUGUAAGUAAUGUCAUCUAUGUUGUCACAGUAAUAAGUGAAAUAAUAAAGUGUCUCUUAAAACCAACUUCACAUGUGAAUAGAAUGAAGUAAUGGAGAUGAAACAUGUAAGAAGACACGUGCCACCGAGCCGACAUGGACUGUGAAAGCUAUAAAGCUCAUUUAUGCUCCUGACAGCCCCACUGGACCAUCUUCACCAUAAGUACCCCCACAUGAGCCAAGCAGAAGAUUAUUUUCCAUACUCCUCAUAUCUGAGGCAGGCUGACCUCCUUGGACCUUCCAAUCUACACACUCCUGCUGUAGCCUCAAAACAGCUAUACCCUAAAGAUUUUUAAAAACAACUCACUGCUGGAAGCGUAGGAGCCCUCCUAUGGUCCACCAUCUCUGACUCGGCAUGGAAGCAGUGCUUCUGAAUCAAACAGAGCUAUGACAUUUUAAAAAGUGCUCUUAAACUUGCACAUUCAAGGUGAUCAAGUUGAAGAACCCCAACAACGAUUCCCAUCACAGACCAGGGCCGCACAACAUGAAAGUUGGCACGAGCCUGCAGUUGAUUUCUCAUGCAUUCAUAAUUCCAUUAGUCUAAACUUUUCAGAGUAUCAGUUACAUUAAGCCUCAUUAACUUCUUUUUUCCUGCUUUAUAUUAGCUAAUUAGCUCAGGGGUGGCCACAAAUUAAUUACCAUCUUCUACCGCCUUGUGCAAUUGCAUUGUGUUUAUUUAGUCUCUUCUAUUAACUUUUAAUCUUCCCACUCGUAAAAACAGGCAAUUAACAUUUUUUGAUAAACAAAAAUGAUGCCAGCUCAGGGAUAAUCAGCAGCUCAGCAUGUCGUCCUUACAAAAUUACCCUGACAGUUUAUUUGACCCUCGCCCCACCCUUAGUCCACACAUAGCUACUUUAGAUGAGUUUGUAUGUCGCUCAAGAAGCGACACUGUGUUUUGAUCCUUCCUUGUUAUCACCCACACUGCAUACACAUACUGUACAUAAUACUAAAAUAUAACUAUAACUUUUUUCAGCUGUCAUACAGGACAGUAAUCCCUCAUUCAUCACAUCGAUUCACCCGCAAUAGGUGAAAUCCGCGAAGUGGCUGACAUAUUUUUCUGAACAUUUACAGACAUUUGAAAGCUGUAUGAACCUCCCCAGGCUCUUAUUCAUCUUUCCCCUAUCAACACUUCCUAUACUCUUAAAUACCUUUUAAACUCUUAAACGUACAGUAAUGUACAGUAGUACUUCGUCCUUAUAAUAUGUUUUCAUUUUUUUGUUUUUAUUUUUACAGUUGUAAUGUUUUAUGCUCGGAAGUGUUUAUUUUACCACAAAGUAAAAUUACAGUAUGCACUCAAAAUCCCAUGAUACAGCGAAUUAUGCGUGAUAUGAAUAUGAAAAAAUUAAAUCCACAAUGCACUGAAUCCCCAAUUGGUCAACCACAAUAUAGCACUGUUUAUCCAAGUUACUUAGUUUACAAAGAAUGUUAUUUUGUACUAUCUUGGGGAUUGUGGUGGUAUGUGAGCAGUCACCCAAGGCAUCACAGAAAUGCUUGCAGAAGUCUUCAAUUUACGUCAGUGUAUUUCAAUAAACUAACACAAUGGCUGCUUCAUUAGCCCAUUGAUUCAUUAAUGUAGCCAUCAUUCUUCCUCAUAUUCACACAGCACAAACACCGAUGAUACAAAAGGUAACAGUAAUGAUAACUCUAGCCAUGGUCGAACUCCUGUUAAAGCAUAGGGUGGCUAUCCGCUUUGAUGAAGAGGUCCAUUUAUACACUGUCUCCGAGCACAGGGUCAUCCUUCUCCAUAUUUGGUGUAUUGACUUGGGUUGUUCCUUUUAUUACAAGCAUUUUUUUUUAUUUUUUUUAUUGAAGGAUGAUUACAUUGAAUAAUGUCAAGCGAGGGGCGAAAGAAAUCGACCAGGAUAAUGACGUUCCGGAGAGACAGAAAGUGAUGGGGUAGGUGAGGGGGUCGAUGCCUGUGCUUGCCCUGUCUUUCUGUGCAGUCUCACAAAUUGAGUCGCAUCUUUGCUCAUCCAUUAUUUAAGGACGAUUGGACUCUCUUGGCAAGUAUGGAUUUGAUAAUCAUUCCCAUGUCCAUAUUAAAUAUGUGACAUAAAUAUCACAGUAGGGGCUUGUCAAUAAGAUAGCGCCUGCGUAAAACAAGGGUGUAAAACGUGUGUAUGGGUCAGGCUGAGACGAGAGCAGAUGUUUUCCUCCUUCAGUGACAAUGAGCCACUGGAGAAUAUAGAUGGACAAUAUUGUUAAACAGAUUGGUAAAUGUCUUCCCUGAACUCCAAAAUACAGUUUACAACUAUCCCAAAGAUAUUCUUACAGUCUAUUCACUUCCUUAUCUGCAUAAUGAGAUCCAAUGAGAGAGUUGUAUUCAAAAACACAUAAAAGGGUGUUUUUGGGCGCUUAAACCCGCCCAAAAAAGGGGCACCCAUUGCCAAAAUUAUUCACACAAUUAAGAAAAACAAGCAGAUGUAUUUAACUUAUGUAUUAAUUUCAGUGAACACCAUCAACACAGUCAAUAAACCUUACAAACGAGAUGAAGGGAAGCUACAGUGGAAAUAAAAACUCUACACACCCCUGAUCAAAUGGUGGCGGCUUGUGUGCACUGCGGAUUAGCGAGGGGCACAAUUCUUACAAGAACUAAAAUAAAUAUCCAUCUAAUAUCAAAACACCUUUGGGGGGGAAUUGAUGACAGAGAGAGUAUUUAUAUAUUUAUUUAAAUAUUGAAGAAGAAGAAAAAAAUGGGUUCAAGGCAACUUUUCUCAUCCAGGGCAAAGGGGGCUGGUUAGAGCACCACAAGGGGUCCAUCUGUGCACGUGCCUGUAAAAGAGGCAAACCAUUACCAACUCCUUUCAUUAUGGUGCACCACUGUCCGUGUUAAAAACACAAUAAUAAGCAUAAUGUCAAACAAAUGCCAUUCCCUUAAAGAGAAAUGAUCAGAAGAAACAAGUUAAGGACAAUUGAGUACUGCUGAUCACCAUGUUGCAGAAUAUAAUCGCAUGCGAGUUGCGUUGUGACAUCAGUGUAAUGUGAUUGAAUGCCAAUACAUGUAAGCCCCAUGAUCU